GAACGCUGGCGGCGUGCUUAACACAUGCAAGUCGAACGCGAAAGGGACUUCGGUCCUGAGUAAAGUGGCGCACGGGUGAGUAACGCGUGGAUAAUCUGCCCUUAUGAUCGGGAUAACAGUUGGAAACGGCUGCUAAUACCGGAUACGCUCAAAAUGAACUUUUUGAGGAAAGAUGGCCUCUGCUUGCAUGCUAUCACGUAAGGAUGAGUCCGCGUCCCAUUAGCUUGUUGGCGGGUAACGGCCCACCAAGGCAACGAUGGGUAGCCGAUUUGAGAGGAUGAUCGGCCACACUGGAACUGAAACACGGUCCAGACUCCUACGGGAGGCAGCAGUGGGGAAUAUUGCGCAAUGGGCGAAAGCCUGACGCAGCGACGCCGCGUGAGGGAUUGAAGGUUUUCGGAUCGUAAACCUCUGUCAGAAGGGAAGAAACUACGUUGUGCUAAUCAGCAGCGUACUGACGGUACCUUCAAAGGAAGCACCGGCUAACUCCGUGCCAGCAGCGGC
rnacentral:rRNA from 1 species